CAUCACAAUAAUCAAAACCACAGAAAACAACAGGAAUUUGUAACGCGGAAGAGAUAAAAAAUUUGAAAGUGAAAUUCGAGACAUGAUAAGAGAUUAAUUCAACGAACCGCUGAAACAAUAGAAUUUGAGACACGUGAAAUUUUCGAAAGCCUUAAAAAAAUGAAAAAAGGCUCUAAAGAUGACUCCCUUUAUGAGGAUGUUACCCUCUAAAAUUUAUUUAUUUCUUUUACCCUUAAACGACUUGCGUUAACAACCCUUUAAAGAAAAAAUAUCCGAGAUUUAUGUUUCAUCACGCGGGUUGCUCUGCAUUUGUCAAUUUAUUACCAGCACGUUGUUUGUACCAUGUGCCGCGCUAUAUUCAGUUACAGUAUUGUAAUUCAAAUUGUGGAAUUGCCUUUUACAAAUCCUAACGCUUUGUUUUUUCACAAUCAUCUUAGUUUGUGUGUAAUGGUGUCAACUUUCGAGCUAUCUGGAUGUUGAAAAUUAUGAGCUUAAGCAUGUAAUAGAAAUUGACACUAAUGAAUUAAUUUGGUGAAGUUGUUUCAAACAGUGAAAAAUCUGACUGUUAGCU